rnacentral:piRNA from 1 species
UGGUGCUUCCACAGACUAAACUUAAUCUC